GACGAACGCUGGCGGCGUGCUUAACACAUGCAAGUCGAGCGGUAAGGCCCCUUCGGGGGUACACGAGCGGCGAACGGGUGAGUAACACGUGAGCAACCUACCCUCAACUUCGGGAUAAGCCUCGGAAACGGGGUCUAAUACCGGAUAUCACUCCAUUCUUCAUGGUUUGGGGUUGAAAGUUCUGGCGGUUGGGGAUGGGCUCGCGGCCUAUCAGCUUGUUGGUGGGGUAAUGGCCUACCAAGGCGUCGACGGGUAGCCGGCCUGAGAGGGCGACCGGCCACACUGGGACUGAGACACGGCCCAGACUCCUACGGGAGGCAGCAGUGGGGAAUAUUGCGCAAUGGGCGAAAGCCUGACGCAGCAACGCCGCGUGAGGGAUGACGGCCU
rnacentral:rRNA from 1 species